UAUUUUCAAUCUAAAACCUAGGAGGCAGGUGCUCACGUGUCCUCUUCCAUGAUUAGAAAAUACAGGGAGGAGGCCACAGUGGCAACUGUUACCAUGAUUGAUUUCACUGG
rnacentral:pre_miRNA from 13 species